GGAGUCCCCAUGUCAAAAAGAAAGGGUCAGAACUCCUGGAAUUGAGGAGGGGGAAAAGGAGUCCCCAUGUCAAAAAGAAAGGGGCAGAACUCCUAGAAUUGAGAUGGGGAAAAAGGAGUCCCCAUGUCAAAAAGAAAGGGUCAGAACUCCUAGAAUUGAUAUGGGGAAAAAGGAGUCCCCAUGUCAAAAAGAAAGGGUCAGAACUCCUAGAAUUGAGAUGGGGGAAAAGGAGUCCCCAUGUAAAAAAGAAAGGGUCAGAACUCCUAGAAUUGCGAAGGGGGGAAAAGGAGUCCCCAUGUCAAAAAGAAAGGGUCAGAACUCCUAGAAUUGAGAUGGGGAAAAAGGAGUACCCAUGUCAAAAAGAAAGGGUCAGAACUCCUAGAAUUGAGAUGGGGGAAAAGGAGUCCCCAUGUCAAAAAGAAAGGGUCAGAACUCCUAGAAUUGAGAUGGGGGGAAAAGGAGUCCCCAUGUCAAAAAGAAAGGGUCAGAACUCCUAGAAUUGAGAUGGCGGAAAAGGAGUCCCCAUGUCAAAAAGAAAGGGUCAGAACUCCUAGAAUUGAGAUGGGGGAAAAGGAGUCCCCAUGUCAAAAAGAAAGGGUCAGAACUCCUAGAAUUGAGAUGGGGGAAAAGGAGUCCCCAUGUCAAAAAGAAAGGGUCAGAACUCAUAGAAUUGAGGAGGGGGAAAAGGAGUCCCCAUGUCAAAAAGAAAGGGUCAGAACUCCUAGAAUUGAGAUGGGGGAAAAGGAGUCCCCAUGUCAAAAAGAAAGGGUCAGAACUCAUAGAAUUGAGGAGGGGGAAAAGGAGUCCCCAUGUCAAAAAGAAAGGGUCAGAACUCCUAGAAUUGAGAAGGGGGAAAAGGAGUCCCCAUGUCAAAAAGAAAGGGUCAGAACUCCUAGAAUUGAGAUGGGGGAAAAGGAGGCCCCAUGUCAAAAAGAAAGGGUCAGAACUCCUAGAAUUGAGAUGGGGGAAAAGGAGUCCCCAUGUCAAAAAGAAAGGGUCAGAACUCCUAGAAUUGAGAUGGGGGAAAAGGAGUCCACAUGUCAAAAAGAAAGGGUCAGAACUCCUAGAAUUGAGAUGGGGGAAAAAGGAGUCCCCAUGUCAAAAAGAAAGGGUCAGAACUCCUAGAAUUGAGAUGGGGGAAAAGGAGUCCCCAUGUCAAAAAGAAAGGGUCAGAACUCCUAGAAUUGCGAAGGGGGGAAAAGGAGUCCCCAUGUCAAAAAGAAAGGGUCAGAACUCCUGGAAUUGAGGAGGGGGAAAAGGAGUCCCCAUGUCAAAAAGAAAGGGGCAGAACUCCUAGAAUUGAGAUGGGGGAAAAAGGAGUCCCCAUGUCAAAAAGAAAGGGUCAGAACUCCUAGAAUUGAUAUGGGGAAAAAGGAGUCCCCAUGUCAAAAAGAAAGGGUCAGAACUCCUAGAAUUGAGAUGGCGGAAAAAGGAGUCCCCAUGUCAAAAAGAAAGGGUCAGAACUCCUAGAAUUGAGAUGGGGGAAAAGGAGUCCCCAUGUCAAAAGAAAGGGUCAGAACUCCUAGAAUUGAGAUGGGGGAAAAGGAGUCCCCAUGUCAAAAAGAAAGGGUCAGAACUCAUAGAAUUGAGGAGGGGGAAAAGGAGUCCCCAUGUCGAAAAGAAAGGGUCAGAACUCCUAGAAUUGAGAUGGGGGAAAAGGAGUCCCCAUGUCAAAAAGAAAGGGUCAGAACUCCUAGAAUUGAGAAGGGGAAAAAGGAGUCCCCAUGUCAAAAAGAAAGGGUCAGAUAUCCUAGAAUUGAGAUGGGGGAAAAGGAGGCCCCAUGUCAAAAAGAAAGGGUCAGAACUCCUAGAAUUGAGAUGGGGGAAAAGGAGUCCCCAUGUCAAAAAGAAAGGGUCAGAACUCCUAGAAUUGAGAUGGGGGAAAAGGAGUCCACAUGUCAAAAAGAAAGGGUCAGAACUCCUAGAAUUGAGAUGGGGGAAAAAGGAGUCCCCAUGUCAAAAAGAAAGGGUCAGAACUCCUAGAAUUGAGAUGGGGGAAAAGGAGUCCCCAUGUCAAAAAGAAAGGGUCAGAACUCCUAGAAUUGAGAUGGGGGAAAAGGAGUCCACAUGUCAAAAAGAAAGGGUCAGAACUCCUAGAAUUGAGGAGGGGAAAAAGGAGUCCCCAUGUCAAAAAGAAAGAAAACGUAAUCACUUGGUUUUCUUUACAGCAGAUCAAAUCCAUAUAGGCAGAACUGUAGCCAAUGAGUAGGACAUACUGUACAUCUAUGGCCCAUUCCACAGACCCUGCUCUACAAACAGUCAUUCGUUCAAUCACGUUUUUUACUUGUUCAUGAAUUUACCAUAGAAUAAAUACAUGUUUUCAUUCUGUGGAACAAAUGUCCCUGAAUAUUUUUACCUAUAUUUUCUCACAAUAAAUGACUGUUAAUAUUUCAAAUGUUUUUGGACAUACCCUCAAAUUCUCCAGCAUGAUCAUCGUAGUGUUGAGCUGAAGUUCCUCACUCAUAUGUUGCAGUUUAGAUGUCGUCAUUGUCCUUGUAUACUAUAGAUAAAUACUGCAUAUUGUACAGACCAGUCUGACUGCUGGGAACCUGAUGUCACUUUUCCUAAUGUUGGAUGAAUGCAAAGAAGCUGUGCACUGCCUGUCUAUCUGUGUCUGUCUAUGUGUUUUCUUGGUCUGUCUGUCUGUCUGUCUGUCUGUCUGUCUGUCUGUCUGUCUGUCUGUCUGUCUGUCUGUCUGUCUGUCUGAUAUUUUUUGAUUCCACUCCAGUUUUGAGCCAUUGUAUAUGUAUUAUAUACUUGAAUGUUUCUCCUCUCUUCCCAGAUUCCUUUCAUAGUGCCCCUUCUUUUCACUUUGAAUCUUAUUGGGGAAAUAAAGCAAUAACUGUUUUCAUA